GCCCGAGUGGCGGAAUGGUAGACGCAGAGGUCUCAAAAACCUCCGGUUGCAAGGCCGUGCCGGUUCGAGUCCGGCCUCGGGCACCA
rnacentral:tRNA from 1 species